UAGAUUAAAAAAAUGUAAUUGACACAUAACAAUUAUACACAUUUGUGGAGCACAGAGUGAUAUUGCCUAUGUAUACGGUUUGUAAUGAUCAAAUUGUGAUAAUCAGCAUGUCUAUCACCUCAAAUACUUAUUUCUUUUUAUUGGGAGCAUUCAAAAUCCUCUCUUCUAGCUAUUGGAAAAUACACACUAAAUUACUGUUAACUAUAGUCCCCCUGCAGUGCUGCGGAAUGCCACAACUUAUCCCUCCUCUCCAGCUGUAGUUUAGUAUCCAGUAACAUACUCUUUUCAUUUCCUUUCUUUGGGCAGAAGGCUAGAUGUUGCCUGUUUUUGUUUUAUUUUUCUGCUUCACAUAUAGCGCACGAAAGCAGAGUGUAUUCAAAAAAGGAAAUGUGUUUGAAAAAAAAAAAAGGAAACGAAUUUACAUAGGACCUGUAAGCAUAAGACAAAAAAUGGAAUCUGGUCAUUGACAACCUUAAAUAUAAAGAUGCCAAUUUUAGACUGCGACAAUGGUCCAGAACAUGACAGAUCUUUGUGAUGACUUUGCCUUGCCCGGCACACUCACAGGCAGCUGCCUUUGCUGAAAUGAGGCCUUGUGUCUGCUAGGAGAGUAGCACUCAGAUUUUCCACCCAUUGCUGAAUGAGUUUCCUGAGGCUUCUAUAACAGAUUACCAUACACCAGGUGGCUUAAACCAACAGAAGUGUAUUCUCUUACAGUUCUGAGGCUUCAAGGCUGAGACCAGCGUGUGGGCAGGGCCGUGCUCCUGUGGAAAGCUCUAGAGAAAAAUCCUUCUUUGCCUCUUCCUGCGUCUGUGGUGGCCGCCAGUCCUUACGUCCCCUGUCUUGCAGCCACGUUGAUCUGAUUUCUGUCUCUGUCUUCACAUGGCUGUCUUCUCUGUCAUGAGUCUCUGUGUCUCUGUUUUCUCUGCUUAUAAGGAUACCAGUCAUUGGGUUAGGGCCCGCCAUACUCCAGUAUAACCUUAUCUUAACUAACUAUAUCUGCAAGGAUCGUAUUUCCAAAUAAAGUGACAUUCAGAGGUUCCAGAUGGACAUGAAUUUUGGGGGACACUAUUCAUUCAACACAGUGUAAUCGCCAAAGUCACGUACUGGCACUGUCCUACUGGCACUGGAGGGUUUUUGUUUGCUUGUUUAUUUUAAGCAUUCCAUUUUGCUCAUGAAUAAUGAGUUAUUAACAGCAGGAGGUUCAGAAGGUUGUGUGGCUCUUUGGAAAUAUAUGACAAUGCUAUCUUCUAGAUCCCCUCACCUGGGUCAGGCAGUGAGGUGUUGCCCAUAGGAGCCUCUAUAGGUGCAGGUUCCCCUUGGUACCAUGCUUUGCACAUCGUGUGAGCUCAGAGUUUGUGGACAGAUAGAAACUCAGGAAACACAAAAUAUCGAUCCAUAUGGUAUUUAGCUGAAUCUGUGAAGACUGUCAUUGAUUGCCAAGAAUUAUGAGGAUAUUGCUAAGUCAGUGGCAGUCAUUUACACUCCACAAAAAGCCAUUUUCACAUCUCGACACACUGAACAUGUAUUUUUAGAGAAUGACUAAAUGCAGUUCCAUCCCCUAUUAGGAAUUCCCUGCUCGCAGCAUUCUCCAGGAAAAUGUUGUCAAGGAGAUUAACUGUCCACAUGGACUCAUCAUUUGCCCCAAAUAUAAUUUUGGCUUUGAAUCAUGUAGCGAAGCAGCCAGAUGAAGGGAGGCCCGGCACAGCCAAAGCUCUGAAGCCUGGGAAGUAUUGCCGUCCCACUCUGAGAACAUAGUUCAGUGAAUCAUUUUCCUGGCUUCCUUUCAAAGUCUGAGGAAAUGAAGUCCUUAGGUUUGAAACAGUGAUUCCCAGGAGCAGGUAAGUGCUGAAAGCCUCAUCAGGUGGCACGUUUACUAAAGCCACUUGUUUCUUUUGAAACAGGUUUAAUAUAGACCAUCUUAAAAUGUCAUGACCUCAUGGGACAAUGCAGGGGGACAGAAAUAAGUUGUCACCUCUGAGUUUGGGACUGAAGAUCCCAGAGCCACAGUGAGGGAAGACGGAAGGGGGCCGUGGCGAACUGGGCUGUUAAGAGAUCAUGUGGCCAGUGCAGGGACACAGGACCCCCCCGGAGAGAAAGGGUCUGGGUCUCCUCCUGAGAGCCUGUUCAGGAAUCUCCAAAUUCUUGAACUUGUGGCGUGGUUUUCUUUGGAAAGGAAGGAAGGUGUAAAGAAGCCCAAGUCAGUUUCUCACUUGAGAAAUGCUGUUGCAAAGGGGCAGUGUGGUGGGAAUUUUAACCUUUGCCACUCCCUCUAGCAGAACUGUGUGGUUUUGGACAGGCUGGCCGCUAGUUUCAGGGCACAAUAGAGGGACACUUCCACCCCUUUCAGUGACUUCCCAAGGUGGCUCUGCAGAGCACCCCUUAGGAGAGUGGAGCCUGGCCUCUGAGGCCAUUCUGAAUGAGGGGAAGGUGGGGAUGACCCAGGAAGGCCAGCGCUGCAUGGCUGCACCCCCUCUCCUGCAUUUACCCCCAGGUGCCUGUGCUGGCAGCGGCACAUCACCAGGCCUCCUCCUCUCCGUGGCUCCAUUCACAGCUCCUGCUGGCUGAGGCCUUGGACCUGGCUGCCCACCGCACUUCUCCCCGCCUGAACCACCUCCAUCUCCCUCCAGAUGGUGACCGAGGCCUCCUAGCUUACCCUAACCACCUCCUGCCUCCACCCCGGCCCCUAGCACACACCUGAGCAUCCUCCACCCAAUGGCCAAAGUGAUUCCUUACAAUAGAAAGCAGACUGGGGCCCUCCUCUUCUUGGAAGCCUCACUGUCUUCCCUUCCCUGGGAGUGAGAUCCAAAGUCUUUGCUUGACCCACAGGGUCCUGUACCUGGUGGCCCACUGUGUCCCUCCCCCGUACCCUCACUCUCCGCCUCCCAUCCCACUACGCCUUGGCCUCUUGGGACUCCAGAGCGAGCCGUGCCUUAGAGCCCUGGGCUGCUGCCCCUUCCCCCAGCUCUCUCCUGGCUCCUGCCUAGUUCAGGCACCUUUCCCAGUGUCACACUCCCAGGGAGAUCCUCCCUAAAUGCCUCAUCUCUGUCCCUACUCUGUUUAUCUUACUACAGUCUGACCCACGUAUGGAUUUGGGCAUUUAGAUGUUUCUCUACCCACCCUCCUCCGCAUUAGAAUGUUAACUCUUGGGAGCAAGAGCUUUGUUUUCUGUGUGGCGGCAUGCUUGGUUCCUGCUCAAGAAAAAAAAAUUUUUUUGAAAGAACAAAUAACAUCAACACUCAAUACUCAUUUAUUCACAUAUUUAAGACAUUUUUCCUGGGUAUCCCAUUUUAAUUCAUCCUUAAAAUGGAACUGAUCUUGCCUCCUUAGCCUAAGUUCAGGGGAAAUGGAUGCAAAGCUCUGAAAGUCACUGAUCUGGGUGCUGUGAGGUGACAUCAUCACAGGUGACAUCACCAGCCAGCCAUGGAGAGGUUUGAACGAACCUUCCCCCUUUCUCCCAGACAGAUGUGACCAGGCUUUAUGAAAAUUUGUCUGUAAAGAGGCACUUUUCACCACAUUAUUUUAAUACACUUGUGUUAUUACCAGAAAAAUGGGAAAGAAGGAAAUAAAAUUUGCAUCGACUUUC